GGGGUGCACUCUUAUUCAUGGGCCCUUUCCCUCUAUAUUUGAACCCUUAUGGAUCAUCUCUCGAGUCAUUCCCUUUGGUUGCUUACAAUCCACCACGCUUCCCUGCAAGUUCAUGCCCUCAUGAACGGAAGCUGAGAGCCGCAUCAUCUCGGACUCCAUCUCGGUGUAAGCUUCUGAGUUUGGACUUCCCGGGAGGUCACCCAGCCCAGUACUAUUCAAACCCAAUGACGCUUAACCCCAAAUAUCCCAAGACCCUUAACCAAUUGGAAAAGGGGGUGCACUCUUAUUCAUGGGCCCUUUCCCUCUAUAUUUGAACCCCUAUGGAUCGUCUUUCGAGUCAUUCCCUUUGGUUGUUUACAAUCCACCACGCUUCCCUGCAAGUUCACGCCCUCGUGAACAGAAGCUGAGAGCCGCAUCAUCUCGGACUCCAUCUCGGUGUAAGCUCCUGAGUUUGGACUUCCCGGGAGGUCACCCAGCCCAGUACUAUUCAAACCCAAUGACGCUUAACCC
rnacentral:lncRNA from 1 species